AGGAGGAAAUCCUACAUGUCUGCUCCCGGAGCUGCCACAACCCAUCUUCCCACAACUCGGAACUUGGAAAAAGGAACCCAGGACACGACUUUGCUUUUCUUUUGGACCUAGUUGAUACAAGUUAACAGGAUAUGCUUCUGGCCUGUUUCUGGAUUCUAAGGGUAGAACCAGCAUAAAACUAGUCAGUCCAAGUAUUUCUAAAGAUCCACAGACACAGUUCUCCUGGAUUUGGGAAGCCUAGAGAUAUUAGCACAAUAAUUAAGGCCCAAAGGCAGCACAUAAGAGAGGGAAAGCCAUGCGCGUGGAGUCCAGCACAUCACCCAGAAGGCAGAUGUUCUGUCUCCAUUUUACUCAUGAAAAGAAACAAAACCACACCUGGAUUGCCUGCAACUUUUAAAAGCCUUUCCACUGCACAGUGAAAGAAAACCACAAACUCCUUGUUUAAUAAGUGGGAUCAUGUGCUUUUAACAAGAGGAAAAGGUCAAUCUGAAGCAACUGAUAUGGAACUGCCAGAGUAGGAGUUGAAAAUCUUCCUAAACUGCUGGAGGAUACACCUCUGAUAGCUUGAGACAAAUAUCCUCUUGAUCAUUGUUUCACCAUAUUUGUCUUUGCUCAUGGAGAACCAUUUUGAUCCGUGGUUUAGCCUCCCAGGUGAUUGAACAAUAC
rnacentral:lncRNA from 1 species